UAUGGCCCAUGGGCUAAAAUGGUUUUUACAUUUUAAAAGGGUUGAAAACUUUAAAACUGGAAGGAUACAUGACAGAGACUGGAUGGCCUACAAUGCCUAACAUAUUAUCUAGCCCUUUACAGAAAACAACUGACCAAUCCUUAUGAGACCAGACUUGCAAAAAUUACAGUAACAGAGUGAAAAACCUUCUUGAAGUGUUAGGAGGAACUUGAGUCAUAAUUUGAUGUUGAAUCAGAGAGAACAACUGUUUGGGCUUAUUUGCCUCAGAGGUUAUUUGCCCAGCCUCUGGUAACUAUCAUUCUAUUCUCUACCUCCAUGAGAGCAACUUUCUUAGCUCCCACAUGUGAAUGAGAACAUGCAAUAUUUGUCUUUCUGUGCCUGGCUUAUUUCAGUUAACAUCGUGACCUCCAGUUCCAUCCAUGUUGCUGCAAAUGGUGGAUUCAGAAUGUGUUGCUGGACUUCAAGAUAGGAAGAAUCUUUGCCUUGAUGGCUGAUGACAGUAACCACCCCAUCUACCAUCAUCUAUUAAGGAUUUACUGUGUGGUCACUUUACAGUCAUCCAAGUAAAUUUUCAUAAUCACCUGAUUACAUGGGUACCGCUUUUCAGAAAAAGAAACAGAUUUCUGGAGGGUAAGUAACCCAAAUCGUACAGCUGAGCCAUCUGUCUGCAUCUCAAGCAUUGAGGCAGCAUUCGGCCUCCGAGGGUGUUGUCAA
rnacentral:lncRNA from 1 species